rnacentral:tRNA from 1 species
AUCUUCAUGGUGUAACGCUAGCACACUCGAAGUAUAUUCGAGAGGUCCAGGUUCGAAUCCCGGUAAGGGCA